UUUUUUAAUUAAAAAGUGUUGAUUAUUUAGACAGGUUUUCAAUGGAUUCCACCGACGGAAACUAUCGUUUUCUGAUGUCUUGACUGGAAGGAAGGAUGGAACUGAAACACACUGACCUACCUCAAGAAACUGCUAGUUGUCAUCCUACCAGCUGAUCAUCUGGCAUCGUUCGGCAGAGAAAUAAAGUUAUUUCCCUGUUGAGGUUUAAGUAUAGGAUUUGGAUGAUUUUUUCCCUAUAUCUUUGAUGACGUGUCUAAUCUAGAGUCCAAUGGAAUCUAUUGACAUGACUGGCCUACCAGGACCAGAAUAAUUUUUUGGACAGUGAUGUUGCUGAACAUUGAGGACAAGGUGUUGCCGAGCCAAGGACACACCGCUGCUUUUAAUUUUUUUUCUGUUUCAGAUCCAGUCAACGAGAAUAAGGAUAUCCAUAGGUGCCAAGGAAUACCGAGACCAGGAGAAGGAGGACCAGGACCAGAAAGAAGAAUAAUUAUUAAUUGAUCAUCAAGAUUAAUAUUAUCAUUAUUAUUAU